rnacentral:rRNA from 1 species
GGGUUGUGAGGUUAAGCGACUAAGCGUACACGGUGGAUGCCCUGGCAGUCAGAGGCGAUGAAGGACGUGCUAAUCUGCGAAAAGCGUCGGUAAGGUGAUAUGAACCGUUAUAGCCGGCGAUGUCCGAAUGGGGAAACCCAGUGCAAUUCGUUGCACUAUCGUUAACUGAAUACAUAGGUUAACGAGGCGAACCGGGGGAACUGAAACAUCUAAGUACCCCGAGGAAAAGAAAUCAACCGAGAUUCCCCCAGUAGCGGCGAGCGAACGGGGAGCAGCCCAGAGUCUGAAUCAGCUUGUGUGUUAGUGGAACGGUCUGGAAAGUCCGACGGUACAGGGUGAUAGUCCCGUACACCAAAAUGCACAGGCUGUGAACUCGAAGAGUAGGGCGGGACACGUGGUAUCCUGUCUGAAUAUGGGGGGACCAUCCUCCAAGGCUAAAUACUCCUGACUGACCGAUAGUGAACCAGUACCGUGAGGGAAAGGCGAAAAGAACCCCGGCGAGGGGAGUGAAAAAGAACCUGAAACCGUGUACGUACAAGCAGUGGGAGCACCUUCGGGUGUGACUGCGUACCUUUUGUAUAAUGGGUCAGCGACUUAUAUUCUGUAGCAAGGUUAACCGUAUAGGGGAGCCGCAGGGAAACCGAGUCUUAACUGGGCGUUAAGUUGCAGGGUAUAGACCCGAAACCCGGUGAUCUAGCCAUGGGCAGGUUGAAGGUUGGGUAACACUAACUGGAGGACCGAACCGACUAAUGUUGAAAAAUUAGCGGAUGACUUGUGGCUGGGGGUGAAAGGCCAAUCAAACCGGGAGAUAGCUGGUUCUCCCCGAAAGCUAUUUAGGUAGCGCCUCGUGAACUCAUCUUCGGGGGUAGAGCACUGUUUCGGCUAGGGGGUCAUCCCGACUUACCAACCCGAUGCAAACUACGAAUACCGAAGAAUGUUAUCACGGGAGACACACGGCGGGUGCUAACGUCCGUCGUGAAGAGGGAAACAACCCAGACCGCCAGCUAAGGUCCCAAAGUCAUGGUUAAGUGGGAAACGAUGUGGGAAGGCACAGACAGCCAGGAUGUUGGCUUAGAAGCAGCCAUCAUUUAAAGAAAGCGUAAUAGCUCACUGGUCGAGUCGGCCUGCGCGGAAGAUGUAACGGGGCUAAACCAUGCACCGAAGCUGCGGCAGCGACACUAUGUGUUGUUGGGUAGGGGAGCGUUCUGUAAGCCUGCGAAGGUGUGCUGUGAGGCAUGCUGGAGGUAUCAGAAGUGCGAAUGCUGACAUAAGUAACGAUAAAGCGGGUGAAAAGCCCGCUCGCCGGAAGACCAAGGGUUCCUGUCCAACGUUAAUCGGGGCAGGGUGAGUCGACCCCUAAGGCGAGGCCGAAAGGCGUAGUCGAUGGGAAACAGGUUAAUAUUCCUGUACUUGGUGUUACUGCGAAGGGGGGACGGAGAAGGCUAUGUUAGCCGGGCGACGGUUGUCCCGGUUUAAGCAUGUAGGCUGGUUAUCCAGGCAAAUCCGGAUAAUCAAGGCUGAGGUGUGAUGACGAGGCACUACGGUGCUGAAGUAACAAAUGCCCUGCUUCCAGGAAAAGCCUCUAAGCAUCAGGUAACAUCAAAUCGUACCCCAAACCGACACAGGUGGUCAGGUAGAGAAUACCAAGGCGCUUGAGAGAACUCGGGUGAAGGAACUAGGCAAAAUGGUGCCGUAACUUCGGGAGAAGGCACGCUGGUGUGUAGGUGAAGCCCCUGCGGGUGGAGCUGAGACCAGUCGAAGAUACCAGCUGGCUGCAACUGUUUAUUAAAAACACAGCACUGUGCAAACACGAAAGUGGACGUAUACGGUGUGACGCCUGCCCGGUGCCGGAAGGUUAAUUGAUGGGGUUAUCCGUAAGGAGAAGCUCUUGAUCGAAGCCCCGGUAAACGGCGGCCGUAACUAUAACGGUCCUAAGGUAGCGAAAUUCCUUGUCGGGUAAGUUCCGACCUGCACGAAUGGCGUAAUGAUGGCCAGGCUGUCUCCACCCGAGACUCAGUGAAAUUGAACUCGCUGUGAAGAUGCAGUGUACCCGCGGCAAGACGGAAAGACCCCGUGAACCUUUACUAUAGCUUGACACUGAACAUUGAGCCUUGAUGUGUAGGAUAGGUGGGAGGCUUUGAAGCGUGGACGCCAGUCUGCGUGGAGCCAACCUUGAAAUACCACCCUUUAAUGUUUGAUGUUCUAACGUUGGCCCCUUAUCGGGGUUGCGGACAGUGUCUGGUGGGUAGUUUGACUGGGGCGGUCUCCUCCCAAAGCGUAACGGAGGAGCACGAAGGUUAGCUAAUCCUGGUCGGACAUCAGGAGGUUAGUGCAAUGGCAUAAGCUAGCUUGACUGCGAGCGUGACGGCGCGAGCAGGUGCGAAAGCAGGUCAUAGUGAUCCGGUGGUUCUGAAUGGAAGGGCCAUCGCUCAACGGAUAAAAGGUACUCCGGGGAUAACAGGCUGAUACCGCCCAAGAGUUCAUAUCGACGGCGGUGUUUGGCACCUCGAUGUCGGCUCAUCACAUCCUGGGGCUGAAGUAGGUCCCAAGGGUAUGGCUGUUCGCCAUUUAAAGUGGUACGCGAGCUGGGUUUAGAACGUCGUGAGACAGUUCGGUCCCUAUCUGCCGUGGGCGCUGGAGAAUUGAGGGGGGCUGCUCCUAGUACGAGAGGACCGGAGUGGACGCAUCACUGGUGUUCGGGUUGUCAUGCCAAUGGCACUGCCCGGUAGCUAAAUGCGGAAGAGAUAAGUGCUGAAAGCAUCUAAGCACGAAACUUGCCCCGAGAUGAGUUCUCCCUGAGACUUUAAGUCUCCUGAAGGAACGUUAAAGACGAUGACGUUGAUAGGCCGGGUGUGUAAGCGCAGCGAUGCGUUGAGCUAACCGGUACUAAUGAACCGUGAGGCUUAACCUUACAACGCCGAAG